CAGACUAAUGAUGAAGGUGUGUCAUGAAUUAAAGUUUACGAUGAAUGUAAAUCUGUGAAACUGAGGCCCAUA
rnacentral:snoRNA from 1 species